rnacentral:rRNA from 1 species
UACGGAGGAUGCAAGCGUUAUCCGGAAUGAUUGGGCGUAAAGGGUCCUGAGGUGGCUGGCUUAUUCUACUGUGAAAGAUCAGGGCUUAACCCUGAACAGGCGGUGGAAACUAGCAAGCUAGAGUACGGUAGGGGCGGAGGGAAUUCUCGGUGGAGCGGUGAAAUGCGUAGAUAUCGGGAGGAACACCUGUGGCGAAAGCGGCUCACUGGACCACAACUGACGCUGAUGCACGAAAGCUAGGGGAGCAAACAGG